CAAGGAGUUUUCCGCAAUGGGCGCAAGCCUGACGGAGCAACGCCGCGUGGGGGAUGACACCUUUCGGGGCGUAAACCCCUUUUCUUGGGGACGAAGCAGUGACGGUACCCGAGGAAGAAGGCCCGGCUAACUACGUGCCAGCAGCCGCGGUAAUACGUAGGGGCCGAGCGUUGUCCGGAGUUACUGGGCGUAAAGCGCGCGCAGGCGGCUCGUCAAGCCUGACGUGAAAGCCCCCGGCUCAACCGGGGAGGGUCGUCGGGGACUGGCGGGCUUGAGGUCGGCAGGGGUUGGUGGAAUUCCCGGUGUAGUGGUGAAAUGCGUAGAGAUCGGGAGGAACACCCGUGGCGAAGGCGGCCAACUGGGCCGGACCUGACGCUGAGGCGCGAAGGCGUGGGGAGCGAACGGG
rnacentral:rRNA from 1 species